UACGAAGGGGGCUAGCGUUGUUCGGAAUUCCUGGGCGUAAAGCGCACGUAGGCGGAUCGAUCAGUCAGGGGUGAAAUCCCAGAGCUCAACUCUGGAACUGCCUUUGAUACUGUCGAUCUAGAGUAUGGAAGAGGUGAGUGGAAUUCCGAGUGUAGAGGUGAAAUUCGUAGAUAUUCGGAAGAACACCAGUGGCGAAGGCGACUUACUGGACACAUAUUGACGCUGAGGUGCGAAAGCGUGGGGAGCAAACAGG
rnacentral:rRNA from 1 species